AGAGAUGACUUCAAUAUUAAAGUAUUGCAAGCUUUUGUUGAUCUCCACGAAUUCACGGAUCUGAACUUGGUACAAGCACUUCGGCAGUUUCUGUGGAGCUUCCGCUUGCCCGGCGAGGCUCAGAAGAUUGACAGGAUGAUGGAGGCGUUUGCACAGAGAUACUGUCACUGUAAUCCUGGAGUCUUCCAGAGCACAGACACCUGUUACGUGCUGUCGUUUUCCAUCAUCAUGUUGAACACCAGUCUGCACAACCCCAACGUGAGGGACAAGCCCACGGUGGAGCGCUUCAUCAGCAUGAACAGAGGCAUCAACGACGGAGGAGAUUUACCCGAGGAGCUG